CAAAUGAAAAAUUAACAGAUCUUAGAAAAAAAAAAAAUUAUUUCGCGUUGUAUGUUAGUUUAUUUAUUCAUCGACCGAUAUCGAGUGUGUGGACAUUAUUUUCCGAAACGUUCAACUUGGCGCACUCAAAUCCAAGCUAUAGGAGCAACAGUUGAUCUAAUACUAUUAACAAAUAAAAUAAGGGGAAAAGUUUCAAGAAAAUUA